UGGGGAAUUUUGGACAAUGGGGGAAACCCUGAUCCAGCCAUCCCGCGUGUGCGAUGAAGGCCUUCGGGUUGUAAAGCACUUUUGGCAGGAAAGAAACGUCGCGGGUUAAUACCCCGCGAAACUGACGGUACCUGCAGAAUAAGCACCGGCUAACUACGUGCCAGCAGCCGCGGUAAUACGUAGGGUGCAAGCGUUAAUCGGAAUUACUGGGCGUAAAGCGUGCGCAGGCGGUUCGGAAAGAAAGAUGUGAAAUCCCAGAGCUUAACUUUGGAACUGCAUUUUUGAACUACCGGGCUAGAGUGUGUCAGAGGGAGGUGGAAUUCCGCGUGUAGCAGUGAAAUGCGUAGAUAUGCGGAGGAACACCGAUGGCGAAGGCAGCCUCCUGGGAUAACACUGACGCUCAUGCACGAAAAGCGUGGGGAGCAAACAGGAUUAGAUACCCUGGUAGUCCACGCCCCUAAAACGAUGUCAACUAGCUGUUGGGGCCUUCGGGCCUUGGUAGCGCAGCUAACGCGUGAAGUUGACCGCCUGGGGAGUACGGUCGCAAGAUUAAAA
rnacentral:rRNA from 1 species